UCCUGUCCAACGUUAAUCGGGGCAGGGUGAGUCGACCCCUAAGGCGAGGCCGAAAGGCGUAGUCGAUGGGAAACAGGUUAAUAUUCCUGUACUUGGUGUUACUGCGAAGGGGGGACGGAGAAGGCUAUGUUGGCCGGGCGACGGUUGUCCCGGUUUAAGCGUGUAGGCUGGUUUUCCAGGCAAAUCCGGAAAAUCAAGGCUGAGGCGUGAUGACGAGGCACUACGGUGCUGAAGCAACAAAUGCCCUGCUUCCAGGAAAAGCCUCUAAGCAUCAGGUAACAUCAAAUCGUACCCCAAACCGACACAGGUGGUCAGGUAGAGAAUACCAAGGCGCUUGAGAGAACUCGGGUGAAGGAACUAGGCAAAAUGGUGCCGUAACUUCGGGAGAA
rnacentral:rRNA from 1 species